GCAAAGACUGAGGUUGUAGUUUCCUUGCCAACCAACAAUCCAUAUAAUACUCCCCAACACCCAAACACAACACAGACGUAGAAAUGGAAGAUGAGAAGAGACUAGAGCUUAGGCUGGCUCCUCCCUGCCACCAACUCACAUCCAACAACAACGUCAAUGGAUCUAAACAAAGAAGCCUCACGAAAGACACAUCAUUUGUUUUCAAUAACAGGGUUGAGGCAGCUCCGGUGGUGGGAUGGCCGCCGGUGAGACCAUCCCGGCGAAACCUAACGGCGCAGCCAAAAGAGGAGAUGAAGAAGGGAGUGAACGAUGACGUGAGAGAGUUGUACGUUAAGAUCAAUAUGGAAGGAGUUCCCAUUGGAAGAAAAGUCAACCUCUUCGCUUAUAACAACUACCAACAGCUUUCAUAUGCCGUUGACCAACUCUUCUCUAAGAAAGAUUCGGCUGAUGUAGACAGACAAUACACUUUGGUCUACGAAGACACUGAAGGAGAUAUAGUUCUGGUCGGAGAUGUUCCUUGGGAGGAUGGCAAUUGGGCUCUCCCGUCCCGUCCCGUCCCGAACCGCUGCGGGUUCGGCUUCUGGCGGUACACGGCGGGUCUGUCCCGCGCGGGAUGCGGUCUUCAAACUAGCUACCCAAUCCCGUACCGCGAAAUAUGUAGGCCUUCGCGGGCCAUCCCGCGGGACAUCGAAUAUUACAUUGCUUAUUUCUACAUGCACAAACAAACAUAGACAAUAAUUGAGUUUGAGCUUACACAUGAUCGAGCAUACUCUUAAAAGAUCAAUACAUUAAGCUUAUACAAAACAAAUGUUUUUUAUUAUCAUUUAUAAUGGCUUGAAGAAGCUCCACCGGUGCAGACCAGAGACGCUUGGGAGACCGGAAGCAUCAUCGACCCUGAAACCACCAUCAACGGAGCUCCAUAAUGUCUAAUCCCCCUCUCUCUCUCUCUCUCUCUCUCUCUCUCUCUCUCUCUCUCUCUCUCUCUCUCUCUCUCUCUCUCUCUCUCUCUCUCUCUCUCUCUCUCUCUCUCUCUCUCUCUCUCUCUCUCUCUCUCUCUCUCUCUCUCUCUCUCUCUCUCUCAGGUGAAAGCUUCAAAAUCCCGCGGUUUAACCCAUCCCGCUUUCGACCCGUCCCGCUUUGAGCCCAUCCCACUUUGAACCCGUCCCGCUUUAGACCCGUCCCGCGAGGCCCGCAAUUUUGCGGGUUUAUCAAAUGGAGGCCCAAUCCCGCCCCGCAGCAAGCCUUUACAGGCCAGGCCCGCGGUCCAAGUCCUUGAUUGCCAUCCCUAUUGGUGUAGGAUGUUUAUAUCGACUGUGAAGAGAUUGCACGUUUUAAAAACCUCCCACGUCUCCAUGCUCUCACCUAUAAAACAUGGCAUGGAAUAGAGUGAGGUUCACCAAUACACCAGUUCGAUGUUUUGUUUAAAAUUUAAUUUAUGUAAACCAUGGGGCUUGGUUUGAUUUACUGAGAUUUCUUUUAUUGUUACUUAGAUUUUGCUUUUUCAAAUUAUGCUCUAUGUUUUUCGUUAUGCUUAUGGAAGACGAAUUUGUGUAAAUAUGAUGUUUGCUUAAGUAAUCUGGGUGGUAUUACUAUGUUA